CUGUAAGCCUGUGAAGGUGUGCUGUGAGGCAUGCUGGAGGUAUCAGAAGUGCGAAUGCUGACAUAAGUAACGAUAAAGCGGGUGAAAAGCCCGCUCGCCGGAAGACCAAGGGUUCCUGUCCAACGUUAAUCGGGGCAGGGUGAGUCGACCCCUAAGGCGAGGCCGAAAGGCGUAGUCGAUGGGAAACAGGUUAAUAUUCCUGUACUUGGUGUUACUGCGAAGGGGGGACGGAGAAGGCUAUGUUGGCCGGGCGACGGUUGUCCCGGUUUAAGCGUGUAGGCUGGUUUUCCAGGCAAAUCCGGAAAAUCAAGGCUGAGGCGUGAUGACGAGGCACUACGGUGCUGAAGCAACAAAUGCCCUGCUUCCAGGAAAAGCCUCUAAGCAUCAGGUAACAUCAAAUCGUACCCCAAACCGACACAGGUGGUCAGGUAGAGAAUACCAAGGCGCUUGAGAGAACUCGGGUGAAGGAACUAGGCAAAAUGGUGCCGUAACUUCGGGAGAAGGCACGCUGAUAUGUAGGUGAAGUCCCUCGCGGAUGGAGCUGAAAUCAGUCGAAGAUACCAGCUGGCUGCAACUGUUUAUUAAAAACACAGCACUGUGCAAACACGAAAGUGGACGUAUACGGUGUGACGCCUGCCCGGUGCCGGAAGGUUAAUUGAUGGGGUUAGCCGCAA
rnacentral:rRNA from 1 species